GCUGAUGUAGCUCAGUGGCAGAGCAGCUGAUUCGUAAUCAGCAGGUCAGGGGUUCAAAUCCCCCCAUCAGCUCCA
rnacentral:tRNA from 1 species